UACGCGAAGAACCUUACCAAGGCUUGACAUGGACUGGAAAUACCUGGAAACAGGUGCCCCGCUUGCGGCCGGUUCACAGGUGGUGCAUGGUUGUCGUCAGCUCGUGUCGUGAGAUGUUGGGUUAAGUCCCGCAACGAGCGCAACCCUCGUUCUAUGUUGCCAGCACGUGAUGGUGGGGACUCAUAGGAGACUGCCGGGGUCAACUCGGAGGAAGGUGGGGACGACGUCAAAUCAUCAUGCCCCUUAUGUCUUGGGCUUCACGCAUGCUACAAUGGCCGGUAAAAAGGGUUGCGAUACUGUGAGGUGGAGCUAAUCCCAAAAAGCCGGUCUCAGUUCGGAUUGGGGUCUGCAACUCGACCCCAUGAAGUCGGAGUCGCUAGUAAUCGCAGAUCAGCAACGCUGCGGUGAAUACGUUCCCGGGCCUUGUACACACC
rnacentral:rRNA from 1 species